AUGGCCAGUAACCUGAAAUUUGUUAUUGGGGCACUGAAAAUAUUAAUAGAAGAAGAUCAGGGAUGUAGAAAAGACUUCCAAGCUAUCUUUGAGCAGGCUAACAUUUUUCAAGACAAAUAUAAAGACAUGAACACAUACAAAGUGAAUAUGGAACAGAAACCUGAUGAAUCAAAUAAAGAAGGCACAUUUUUACCAUUGGCCCCAGAAGAAGAAUUAUUACUAGAACAAUUUAAAAUAAAACCUAAAGAGAUAAAAAAUGAAGAUUUAUCACCAGGGCAAUUAUUAGCCCAAGGGGAUUUCAAUUCAGGUGAGAAAAAUGAGGCCCGGAGAAGAUAUUCAGAUAGUUACCUUCCCAGCUGUGACUUCAUGGCUUCUGGCUCUAAAAUCAAGGCCAAAGAGACCCCAAUAAAAAAAGAAAAAGAAGAAGAUGAAAUAGUAGUGGAGGAAGAGAUUAUUAGCACUGGAAAACCUACAGAGGGAAAGGCUAAAAAGAGAUUUUCCUGGUUCCGCAAUAUCAAAGAACGCAAGCUGUGGAACUUCUUUCAUUUUAAAAAACAUGACAAACAAGUAAAGAAUGUGCACAAGUGGGAAGAAAUUGAUCAAGAGGUAUUGGAAGAUUACUCUCCUUAUUCUACUGAAGCCCCUAAAACAUUGCCAACAGAGUGGACAAAUAUUGAAGUUGGUAAUUGGUUAUGGAGCAUUGGAAUGGAGGAGUAUGUUGUAAAAUUUUAUUGUAAAGGAAUAAGUGGUGAAAAACUCCUUACACUGGACAAUCGCUCGCUAAAAGAAAUCGAAGUCAACAAGAAGAAAGACCGCCGGAAAAUACUUAAGGCUAUUAAGAAAGUUAGAGAUUUUUGGGAAAAAAAUCAUCAUUUCGUCUUAUUAUAGAAAUUGAUGGAAAGAAGACACAGAACCUGAAAGAUGGCAAAAAUGGAAAAUGCAAUUACUUUUGUUAUAUUGACUUUUCAUCAUUUUACUUCUGUUACUUUUGUUAUAUGAACUUUUAAGGGAUUUUACUUCCAUGUUACUUUUGUUAUAUGAACUUUUAAGGGAUUUUAGUUCCAUGUUACUUUUGUUAUAUGAACUUUUAAUCAUUUUAUUACUGUUACUUUUUUUAUUAUUAACUUUUAAUUAUUUCACUUUCAUGUUACAUUUGUUAUAUGAACUUUUAAGGGAUUUUACUUCCAUGUUAUUUUUGUUAUUAUUAACUUUUAAUCAUUUCACUUCCAUGUUACUUUUGUUAUAUGAACUUUUAAGUGAUUUUACUUCCAUGUUACUUUUGAUAUAUGAACUUUUAAGGGAUUUUACUUCCAUGUUACUUUUGUUAUAUGAACUUUUAAUCAUUUCACUUCCAUGUUACUUUUGUUAUAUAGAACUUUUAAGGGAUUUUACUUCCAUGUUAAUUUUGUUAUAUGAACUUUUAAUCAUUUUAUUACUGUUACUUUUGUUAUUAUUAACUUUUAAUCAUUUCACUUCUAUGUUUCUUUUGCUUUCUUAUUAACUUUUAAUUAUUUCAUUUUUAAGUAAGUAUUAUUUUGAUAGAGGAUAAUUUUUGCACAGGUUAAUAAUUGUUAAUAUCAUACAUAUAACAUAUGAAAAAAAUGGUUAUAAUAAGCACUUAUACUUUUUUAUAAGAACUAAUAUGGAAUUUCCCCCAUAUGAUCAUUUUGUAAGUAGCAAUCAUUCUAAUCUAACAAAAUUUUUAGUUAUUUUUCCUUUUCAACUUUUCAUUGCCACUGCCACCUGCUUUAAAGAAUCUGUCCCAAGUACUCUUUAUUAGUUCAUAAUCCCAGAGAACUCAAUAGGCUUUAGUCAAGCCCUCAUGAUGCUCUGUUACUUUUGUUUCAGAAUCUAUAUAUAAACAAAAGAAAUGCAUAUAAGAAUCUGUACAUAUUAUAGAUUUCCCUUAAGCAUACAUAUUGUUCAUGAGAUCUCCUUAUUACCUUACUUUUUUUUGUCAUAAUCCUCUCCAAAUCAUAUUUUAAGAGCUACAAAGUAUAGUUUUAUAUUCAUCACUCUCUUAUAGAAUUUAGUUUAAAUUUCUAUCAAAGUAUUUUAAAUAACAAUAAAAAUAACUUCAUAAAACUUUCCCCCUUAAAA
rnacentral:lncRNA from 1 species